rnacentral:rRNA from 1 species
GGGCCCGCACAAGCGGUGGAGCAUGUGGUUUAAUUACGAAGCAACGCGCAGAACCUUANCAGGGCUUGACAUGGGUAGGCCGCUGGUCGAGAGAUCGUCGUUCCCACGCAAGGGSCCUACUGCACAGGUGCUGCA